rnacentral:rRNA from 1 species
AUGAUUCGUGGGACGUCCUGCCGGUGGUGGCGAGUCGAAGGCGUGCACCCGUUGUGGUUUCCACUUCGGUUCUUGCGCGCCGGAGGCGGACCCCGAUGAAAUCCUACCGCGGUGCUCUUCGCCGAGUGUCGAGGUGGGCCGGCACGUUUACUUUGAACAAAUUAGAGUGCUUAAAGCAGGCCUGUUGCGCCUGAAUACUGUGUGCAUGGAAUAAUGGAAUAGGACCUCGGUUCUAUUUUGUUGGUUUUCGGAACCCGAGGUAAUGAUUAAUAGGGACAGGCGGGGGCAUUCGUAUUGCGACGUUAGAGGUGAAAUUCUUGGAUCGUCGCAAGACGGACCGAAGCGAAAGCAUUUGCCAAGUAUGUUUUCAUUAAUCAAGAACGAAAGUUAGAGGUUCGAAGGCGAUCAGAUACCGCCCUAGUUCUAACCAUAAACGAUGCCAGCUAGCGAUCCGCCGAAGUUCCUCCGAUGACUCGGCGGGCAGCUCCCGGGAAACCAAAGCUUUUGGGUUCCGGGGGAAGUAUGGUUGCAAAGCUGAAACUUAAGGAAUUGACGGAAGG